AUCGCUUCUCGGCCUUUUGGCUAAGAUCAAGUGUAGUAAUAGACAAAGAAGAUGACUAUAGUGUCAGCAAGUUCUUCCGGUGUUCUUUAAUUUCUUUUCAUUUGUGUUAAAAUAUAUGUGGACAUUUAAGAUUUUUAAAAUUCACUCAGUUCCUUUCAUAAUAAAAGUGUAAGCUGAAGAUUAA